AGCUUUGCGCAGUGGCAGUAUCGUAGCCAAUGAGAUUUAUCUGAGGCGUGAUUAUUGCUAAUUGAGAAAAUAAAGAAUACGAGAGAAAAAAAUAUAUUGUAUUUGCUUGUGAAGUUAACUGGAAAUUGAGAAUUUCUUCGGUAA